UACGUAGGGUGCGAGCGUUGUCCGGAAUUACUGGGCGUAAAGAGCUUGUAGGUGGUUUGUCGCGUUGUUCGUGAAAUCUCACGGCUCAACUGUGAGCGUGCGGGCGAUACGGGCAGACUAGAGUACUGCAGGGGAGACUGGAAUUCCUGGUGUAGCGGUGGAAUGCGCAGAUAUCAGGAGGAACACCGGUGGCGAAGGCGGGUCUCUGGGCCGAUACUGACGCUGAGGAGCGAAAGCGUGGGGAGCGAACAGG
rnacentral:rRNA from 1 species